AGUGGCUGACAAGUCCCAAAUAGGACGAAAUGCGCAUCCUGACU
rnacentral:hammerhead_ribozyme from 1 species